rnacentral:snoRNA from 1 species
UUUCAGUGAAGAUAAUCUGUCCAGUUCUGCUACUGAAUGUGCUUGAUGGAUAUCAUUGUUCUCUGAGAAA